GCCACCAUAGCUCAGAGGUUAGAGCACUGGUCUCGUAAACCAGGGGUCGCGAGUUCGAAUCUCGCUGGUUACU
rnacentral:tRNA from 1 species